rnacentral:rRNA from 1 species
UCCUUAGAUGUUCUGGGCCGCACGCGUGCUACACUGAGUAAUUCAAUGGGUAAGGGAACGCUAGAGCAUUACCUAAUCUUGAAAUUUGCUCGUGAUGGGGAUCGACGGUUGCAAUUUUCCGUCGUGAACGAGGAAUACCUUGUAGGCGCAUGUCAUCAUCAUGCGCCGAAUACGUCCCUGCCCUUUGUACACACCGCCCGUCGCUCCUACCGAUUGAGUGAUCCGGUGAGGCUCUGGGACCUGGACGGAAAGAGCGUUUCGCUUGUUCUGUUUGGGAAACUUGGUCGAACCUUAUCAUUUAGAGGAAGGAGAAGUCGUAACA